rnacentral:rRNA from 1 species
GAUGAACGCUGGCGGCGUGCCUAAUACAUGCAAGUCGAGCGGUAAGGCCCUUCGGGGUACACGAGCGGCGGACGGCUGAGUAACACGUAGGAACCUACCCCAAACUGAGGGAUAAGCACCAGAAAUGGUGUCUAAUACCGCAUGUGCUCUACGGAGUAAAGCUUCGGCGGUUUGGGAAGGGCCUGCGUCCGAUUAGCUAGUUGGUGGUAUAAAAGACUACCAAGGCGACGAUCGGUAGCUGGUCUGAGAGGAUGAUCAGCCAGACUGGGACUGAGACACGGCCCAGACUCCUACGGGAGGCAGUAGUAGGGAAUUUUCCACAAUGGGCGAAAGCCUGAUGGAGCAACGCCGCGUGCAGGAUGAAUGCCUUCGGGUUGUAAACUGCUUUUAUCUGUGACGAAUAUGACGGUAGCAGAUGAAUAAGGACCUGCUAACUACGUGCCAGCAGCCGCAGUAA